CCCGGGCCUCAGCGAGGGCAGAGCUUUGGCGGGAGCCCCGCGAUGGCUUCGUGCUGUGGCAGAGGGGCCGGUUCGUAACUUGCUGUGAGCUGAUGGCUUCGUGCUGUGGCAGAGGGGCCGCCUUGGCGGUGCUGAGAGGAAAAUUUCCAUGGAGAAGGUUAUCCCGUGGUCCCUUGGUUUGUUAACAGAGCAAACAGCCCUCUGACAGCGCUCCAGGGAAGGUGAACACCCAGGCCAAGCUAGCGAUGCUGGUGGCAGGAUGGCAGUGAGUGUGGAAUCACCUCCAAGAGGAAACAGCUGAGCAGCACACUGGGAGCAGACAGAGGGAGGGAUCCCACUCCAACAGGCUCAGGUCAUUCUCUAGGGAAAGAACAGCUCAUGGAUGACCUUCACUUUGGAAUGUCUGUCUCCAUUCCUCUGAUUUGCUCUACUGCCUUCUCUGCUACAGAAAACUUCCUGUUUAUCCGGAGUAAUUUCCAGUGCCUCCUGCUGGCCACGACUCUGCCAUGGGAAUGAGUGUGCCAACAGGAAAUACAAGGUCGGGAAUGGGGCAGGGCAGGGAAGGGCUGGCACAGGCAUUUUAUGGGACAAGGACAGGAUAAGUCCAUCCAUCAUCCUGGGAGGGGGACACUGCUGCCCGCUACUGGCCGAGGUCAGAAGAGAAAGCUGAAGGAGCAGAGGGUACAGAAGCUCAGAUUGCUGCAGAAUUCCUUCCCCCAUUAGGAAAAUAAGGACUAAUUUGCUCUUAAUUUAAUUUCCUCAAUCAGAUCGUUCUCCAAUCACCCCAAGUGUAAAUUUCCAUAUUGUACCUCUUCCAUGCCACACACACUCUGCCUUCUGCCCUUUGCUUAAAAUCUUUCUGGGCUUCCCUUGCCCCCAUAUGAAAAAAGGGAAAGGUCAAUCACUGGAUUAGGAUGGGAAAAUUCUACAUUUAAUUACUAUGUUUGCUAAAGGACAUCAACAUGUUCCUUAGGAAAGAAAAUCCUUUAAUCUCUCUGUAUAUUAAAUUCCCAUCAGUAAAGCCAAAUCAGAGUCUUUUCUCCAUCCAAAGUGCCGGGUAGUAAAACUGUAAGUAUGAAGUUGAAUUUGCAUGAGGCCAGGCACCAAAAAAUAUCUGAGUAAAAAGGUUAGAGCAGAGUUUUGUGGCUUGCAGAGAUUCUUUACUGUUGAGAAGAUGUUACGAGAGCCUCGAGCAAACGGUGCUUUAGAAGUAUCACACCCUGUAGCCACGGAAUCGUAUCUGUGCUGUAGCAGUGCAAUCCACACAGUCAGUGGGAUUCAACACUCUCCCUGAUUGGGAUCUGGCUGGGUACAGCCUGCUGCUGAGGGGUGCAUUGCACAAAACCUUAUCAGAGAGCAAGGAAGUGAGAAAGCCCAUGGCUCUGACACUGAGAGAGUCUUACUAGGGCAAACACAGCCUGAUUCCUGAGUGAGUCAUAGUUCGGGUUGUACCCUUUGAGAGGUUUCUCACAUUAGCUGUGCAAAGUUCUCUGUGCUCAUCCAAACCUAUGAGAAGUCAUCUAGCAAGAAUUAAAAAACAAAAUUAAAAUCUAAAUGUAACUGCAUGCUAGGAAGAAAAAAAAUCCCAUUGUGUUUUGUCAAAGACAAGGACAAGGCCCUGAACAACCUGAUAAUGAUGUCCAAGUUUGCCCUGCUUUGCACAGAGCAUGGAUGACAUGACCUUCUGAGGUCCCUUGAAAACUAAAUUAUUCCAUGAGUCUAAAACAAACAAAAUUGCUUCGUUUGGGCCAGUGUUUUCUUUUGAACACCAUCCAUGCAAAGUAAAAUAAACAAUUCAUCAUCCAUUAUCAUGCCAGACACGGGCCCAGCACG